UAGACUGUAUAAAAACAGGCCGAGACUUUCCUUUCGUCCAUUUUGGUGCAGCUUCUCCGUUGCCAUGGCGGCUACGACGAGCAUGGGCUCAUGGGAAGUUUCCAUGCAGGAUGCUGGGAUGAGUAGACAGAUCUUUUAAAUUCAAGGGCUCAUUCACAUGAACUUGGAGGGCAUGGUGACCAUAGAUGUUGUAUUGAUCAUCCUACUUUAUCUGUGGUGGUCAUGGUGCGGCCAUAGUGUUGUAGUGUUGGAACAAAAUGACCUUUUCACCAAGAACCUGCAACUCCCUAAGGACUGUUAUUUGUCCAAAACCAAGUGUGCCAAGUCCUUUGGUGGUACUAGGUUGCUUACCUGAAGUACUCUCAGCAGGUGGCACAUCUGAUAUGAAACUUUAACCGGACUGCAGUGGAUUCUUGAAGUUCUUCCCCCUUGAGUGUACUGAAGCUAAACUACAGUGAACUUUCCCUCCACAAGUUCUUACUGAAGCUGGUCUCGUAAACUGCAUCUGAGAAGUUGAACUGGCUGACACCGAUUCGUGUCCUUGUACUGUGCAUCUGCUGAACUGAAGUGUUGACUGCAUGGUGUUAAUAAUUGACAAUAUAAAUGGAAUGGUUUUUCCUUUUUGUAUUUAUUCCUAAGCUGCUUGCAAAAUAAAUGGCUUUACUGAA